GACGAACGCUGGCGGCGUGCCUAAUACAUGCAAGUAGAACGCUGAAGAGAGGAGCUUGCUCUUCUUGGAUGAGUUGCGAACGGGUGAGUAACGCGUAGGUAACCUGCCUUUUAGCGGGGGAUAACUAUUGGAAACGAUAGCUAAUACCGCAUAACAAUGGAUGACACAUGUCAUUUAUUUGAAAGGGGCAAUUGCUCCACUACAAGAUGGACCUGCGUUGUAUUAGCUAGUAGGUGAGGGAAUGGCUCACCUAGGCGACGAUACAUAGCCGACCUGAGAGGGGGGUCGGCCAAACUGGGACUGAGACACCGCCCAGGAUCCUAAGGGAGGCAGGCGUAGGGAAUCUUUGGCAAUGGGGGGAACGCUGACCGGGCAACGGCGCGGGAGUGAAGGAGGGUUUCGGAUCGUAAAGCUCUGUUGUAAGUGAAGAACGGGUGGGAGAGUUGACAGUUCACACUGUGACGGUAGCUUACCAGAAAGGGACGGCUAACUACGUG
rnacentral:rRNA from 1 species